UGCAGUCGAGCGGACAGAUGGGAGCUUGCUCCCUGAUGUUAGCGGCGGACGGGUGAGUAACACGUGGGUAACCUGCCUGUAAGACUGGGAUAACUCCGGGAAACCGGGGCUAAUACCGGAUGGUUGUUUGAACCGCAUGGUUCAAACAUAAAAGGUGGCUUCGGCUACCACUUACAGAUGGACCCGCGGCGCAUUAGCUAGUUGGUGAGGUAACGGCUCACCAAGGCAACGAUGCGUAGCCGACCUGAGAGGGUGAUCGGCCACACUGGGACUGAGACACGGCCCAGACUCCUACGGGAGGCAGCAGUAGGGAAUCUUCCGCAAUGGACGAAAGUCUGACGGAGCAACGCCGCGUGAGUGAUGAAGGUUUUCGGAUCGUAAAGCUCUGUUGUUAGGGAAGAACAAGUACCGUUCGAAUAGGGCGGUACCUUGACGGUACCUAACCAGAAAGCCACGGCUAACUACGUGCCAGCAGCCGCGGUAAUACGUAGGUGGCAAGCGUUGUCCGGAAUUAUUGGGCGUAAAGGGCUCGCAGGCGGUUUCUUAAGUCUGAUGUGAAAGCCCCCGGCUCAACCGGGGAGGGUCAUUGGAAACUGGGGAACUUGAGUGCAGAAGAGGAGAGUGGAAUUCCACGUGUAGCGGUGAAAUGCGUAGAGAUGUGGAGGAACACCAGUGGCGAAGGCGACUCUCUGGUCUGUAACUGACGCUGAGGAGCGAAAGCGUGGGGAGCGAACAGGAUUAGAUACCCUGGUAGUCCACGCCGUAAACGAUGAGUGCUAAGUGUUAGGGGGUUUCCGCCCCUUAGUGCUGCAGCUAACGCAUUAAGCACUCCGCCU
rnacentral:rRNA from 1 species